GAUGAACGCUGGCGGCGUGCCUAAUACAUGCAAGUCGAGCGAACAGACGAGGAGCUUGCUCCUCUGACGUUAGCGGCGGACGGGUGAGUAACACGUGGAUAACCUACCUAUAAGACUGGGAUAACUUCGGGAAACCGGAGCUAAUACCGGAUAAUAUAUUGAACCGCAUGGUUCAAUAGUGAAAGACGGUUUUGCUGUCACUUAUAGAUGGAUCCGCGCCGCAUUAGCUAGUUGGUAAGGUAACGGCUUACCAAGGCAACGAUGCGUAGCCGACCUGAGAGGGUGAUCGGCCACACUGGAACUGAGACACGGUCCAGACUCCUACGGGAGGCAGCAGUAGGGAAUCUUCCGCAAUGGGCGAAAGCUUGACGGAGCAACGCCGCGUGAUUGAUGAAGGUCUUCGGAUCGUAAAACUCUGUUAUUAGGGAAGAACAAAUGUGUAAGUAACUAUGCACGUCUUGACGGUACCUAAUCAGAAAGCCACGGCUAACUACGUG
rnacentral:rRNA from 1 species